CAGCCGCCGCGGGAAUACAGAGGGUGCAAGCGUUAAUCGGAAUUACUGGGCGUAAAGCGCGCGUAGGUGGUUUGUUAAGUUGGAUGUGAAAGCCCCGGGCUCAACCUGGGAACUGCAUCCAAAACUGGCAAGCUAGAGUACGGUAGAGGGUGGUGGAAUUUCCUGUGUAGCGGUGAAAUGCGUAGAUAUAGGAAGGAACACCAGUGGCGAAGGCGACCACCUGGACUGAUACUGACACUGAGGUGCGAAAGCGUGGGGAGCAAACAGGAUUAGAGACCCGCGUAGUCCCUGUCUCUUAUAC
rnacentral:rRNA from 1 species